UCUUGGUCAUUUAGAGGAAGUAAAAGUCGUAACAAGGUUUCCGUAGGUGAACCUGCGGAAGGAUCAUUAUUAAUUCUUCUAGUUAAGCGGCUGCGCGUUUUUUGGAACCGCGGCUGUUUUUCUUGUGAACUGGGGCCUGCUUUUGGAGUUUUACGCUUCUCUGGCGGGCCCGUCGUUAAUGCUCUUGUGUUAAUUUUUUGUUUUUGCUUUUUUUAAGCUUAACCGCUUAGGAAAAAUAAUUACAAGACAACUUUCAGCAAUGGAUCUCUUGGCUCUUGCAUCGAUGAAGAACGCAGCGAAAUGCGAUACGUAGUGUGAAUUGCAGAUUCGUGACUCAUCGAAAUUUUGAACGCACAUUGCACCUAGCGGCCAUUCCGUUAGGUAUGCUUGUUUGAGUGUCUGUCUGAUUUACUCAACUCGCAAAAAAUGUAUUUUUUUUGCAAGUUGGCUUUGGUCUUGGCUCUCGACGCCUUGGCCUUAAAUAAGACAGCGGUCUGCUCUGGUUAAGCUCGCGUGAGCUUGGCAAGUAACCGAAAUCCUAGUCAAGUACUUGGGUGGAAGGAGCUUGUUUGACUCGACGCGCAACUGUUAAUUAAAGAGGCCCUUUUUUUCUUUGAGAAAAAAAAGAUUUCAGUUUUCACAACUGGACCUCAAAUCAAGCAAGGUUACCCGCUGAACUUAAGCAUAUUAAUAAGCGGAGGAAAAGAAACUAACAAGGAUUCCCCGAGUAAUGGCGAAUGAAACGGGAAAAGCCCAAAUUUGAAAUCUCCUAGCUUAACGCUAGGCGAGUUGUAAUUUGUAGAAGGUCUCAUCUGAACUGUGUUUGCUAAAGUCCAUUGGAAAAUGGCGGGCCUUUUGGUCCUCAAGUCGUAGAGGGUGACAACCCCGUUCUUGGCAUUCUACUAGUUCUUUUGUAUGUUUCCUUCAAAGAGUCGGAUUGUUUGGGAAUGCAAUCCAAAACGGGUGGUAAAUUCCAUCCAAGGCUAAAUAUUAGCAAGAGACCGAUAGCGAACAAGUACCGUGAGGGAAAGAUGAAAAGAACUCUGAAGAGAGAGUUCAACAGUACGUGAAAUUGCUGAAAGGGAAACGCUUGAAACGAUUGUUGCUUUUGGCUUCGGCCUUGAGCGAGUCAGUAGCAGUUUUGAACGGUAAAGAAGUGCUUGGAGAAGGUAGUUUUCUUUGGAAAAUGUUAUAGCUCCAGGUAACUGUGCCGGUUAGGACUGAGGAUCGCUUUCAGGUGCCCUGUCGAGGAAUUUUGGGCCGUUAGCGCCAAGGCCUUGGGCUUGCUCAAGACUUGGUGUUAACGGUUCAGGACGACCAAACACAAGGCCCUGAAAUAGGUUACUGACAAAAA
rnacentral:sRNA from 1 species